rnacentral:rRNA from 1 species
UACGGGGGGGGCAAGCGUUGUUCGGAAUUACUGGGCGUAAAGGGUUCGUAGGUGGCCUACUAAGUCAGACGUGAAAUCCCUCAGCUUAACUGGGGAACUGCGUCUGAUACUGGGGGGCUUGAGUGCAGGAGAGGAACGCGGAAUUCCAGGUGUAGCGGUGAAAUGCGUAGACAUCUGGAGGAACACCGGUGGCGAAGGCGGCGUUCUGGACUGCAACUGACACUGAUGAACGAAAGCCAGGGGAGCAAACGGG